rnacentral:lncRNA from 1 species
CACUGUGGUAAAAAUCAACAUUCAGCAGACAAGCUAAACCAGAUUAAGGAUAGUUGGAAGGGCUCACACUCAUCAGUGACUUAAGGGGAUGCUACCCCAAAUAUGUGAAGAAUGGGCAGAUGGGAACAAUUUGUUCCAAUGGCCAUGCAGGUAGCUGAAGCAGGCAGUGGGGAACACUUAGAGCUUGGCCACAAUUGAAGAUACCAAGGUCAUCCACUGCGUCCCAGACCAUCACCAACUUAACUUUUUCUUGCCACAGCACUUAGAUGACUCUGGAAGUUGACUGCUCUGUGCAACACUCAUUCACUUAAAUCCAAUUCACUUGGGAGUCAAGAUAUCACCCUGUGAUGUCAUUGGUCCUCUUUGAAACAAAGGAUGGACAGCAACUAUGUACCAGUGCUUCUCUAUUCUACCAUGUAAUGUUUCCAGUACUAGGUAGCUUCUGGGUGUGUCUUAUUUCCUGUCAUCCUGGAAUGAGGCUAUGGAACUGGUGAUGAGGGAUGAGUCUACUUUAUCCCUGGAGAACUCAGUCAUCAGAAUUGUUAUCCAAUGCUGUGAGGGUCAUAGAAAGAAUAUGUCCUGAGCCUCAGGGAGCCACAAGACUGAUACCAAAGGUUUUUAGCCUUUUGUUGUGUCAUGAACCCAAGGGUAUGCUGGUUAACGUUUAACAGCUGAGAAAGAAAGGAAGAAAGGAAGGAAGGAAGGAAGGAAGGAAGGAAGGAAGGAAGAAAGAAACAAAGGAAGAAAGAAAGAUUAUAAGUUUAAUCUGCAUUAACAUUUUCUCCACUAUUUUCUUGAUCUAA